rnacentral:lncRNA from 1 species
UCCAUUCAUUGUUGUGAGGUCGAUACGGACUCCUCAGUCCUCACACCACUCCAGUGCCGACGCGUCUGCCAUUGAGUGCGGAUGUCUCGUGAUAAACACCGCGCCGUUUUCCGCGCACGUUAGAACAUCGGAGCUUUUAUUUAUAAACAAAUGUUUAUUUACUGUAAUUACCUUGGUUAAUAUUCGGUUUUGCGUACGGAUUGUUGUUAAAACGUUUUUUUCGAGUGCAAAGUGGCUUGUUUCGUUCAAUGUUUAUAUGCGAAGGUGAAAGCACAUGUGCGGCUUUGUAAUAAAUAAUAUAAAAACAUGAAUAAAAAACUAACACUGCGAUGCGAUCCGCGGUAAGGCAUAGUGCACACAGUGAUAUGGUGAUAAUAUAAAAAUAGUACAAAAAAAAAAUGGCGCGACGAAACGUGAGUGUGAUGCGACUAGGGAGGUGCGUGGCUUUCCUCGCCGCGGCAACAUUCCUGCUGCCGUUCACAAUCUUGCUGAUGGUUGCCGAUCAGCAGUACAACCUCACUUACAACUCCAAACGGGUCUUCUAUCAAGAGAGCGACUUCUAUAAAAUUAAUGGAACAUAUUUAACGCCCACAUUUAUACGGACACAGGUAAAAAUACACCAAAUUUUUUACACUAGUGUUGAGGCUAUGCUACUCGCUCACACUGAUUAGAUUCCUUUUAUUCAUUUUUUUACUUGGUUUUAAAUUCUCAGUAC